rnacentral:rRNA from 1 species
AUUGAACGCUGGCGGCAUGCUUUACACAUGCAAGUCGAACGGUAACAGGCCGCAAGGUGCUGACGAGUGGCGAACGGGUGAGUAAUGCAUCGGAACGUGCCCAGUCGUGGGGGAUAACGCAGCGAAAGUUGCGCUAAUACCGCAUACGAUCUAUGGAUGAAAGCGGGGGACCGUAAGGCCUCGCGCGAUUGGAGCGGCCGAUGUCAGAUUAGGUAGUUGGUGGGGGAAAGGCUCACCAAGCCGACGAUCUGUAGCUGGUUUGAGAGGACGACCAGCCACACUGGGACUGAGACACGGCCCAGACUCCUACGGGAGGCAGCAGUGGGGAAUUUUGGACAAUGGGCGCAAGCCUGAUCCAGCAAUGCCGCGUGCAGGAAGAAGGCCUUCGGGUUGUAAACUGCUUUUGUACGGAACGAAACGGUCCUGGUUAAUACCCGGGGCUAAUGACGGUACCGUAAGAAUAAGCACCGGCUAACUACGUGCCAGCCGCCGCAGUAGUAC